GACGAACGCUGGCGGCGUGCUUAACACAUGCAAGUCGAACGGUGAAGCUCCAGCUUGCUGGAGUGGAUCAGUGGCGAACGGGUGAGUAACACGUGAGCAACCUGCCCCUGACUCUGGAAUAAGCGCUGGAAACGGCGUCUAAUACUGGAUAUGAGAAGGGUCCGCAUGGACACUUUCUGGAAAGUUUUUCGGUUGGGGAUGGGCUCGCGGCCUAUCAGCUUGUUGGUGAGGUAAUGGCUCACCAAGGCGACGACGGGUAGCCGGCCUGAGAGGGCGACCGGCCACACUGGGACUGAGACACGGCCCAGACUCCUACGGGAGGCAGCAGUGGGGAAUAUUGCACAAUGGGCGAAAGCCUGAUGCAGCGACGCCGCGGGAGGGAUGACGGCCUUCGGGUUGUAAACCUCUUUCAGCAGGGAAGAAGCGAAAGUGACGGUACCUGCAGAAGAAGCACCGGCUAACUACGUG
rnacentral:rRNA from 1 species